UACGUAGGGGGCUAGCGUUGUCCGGAAUCAUUGGGCGUAAAGCGCGCGUAGGCGGUGUAGCAAGUCGAUAGUGAAAUCUCUGGGCUUAACCCAGAGGCUGCUAACGAAACUGCUGUGCUAGAGUGUGAGAGAGGCGAGUGGAAUUACGGGUGUAGCGGUGAAAUGCGUAGAUAUCCGUAGGAACAUCCGAGGCGAAGGCGGCUCGCUGGAUCACAACUGACGCUGAGGGACGAAAGCUAGGGGAGCAAACAGG
rnacentral:rRNA from 1 species